UCUCUCUCUCUCUCUGUUAAUCUCUACUGACAAAUCUCUUAGCACAACCAAUCCUGAUACCUCUCUCUUAUCCAUUACCCAUUCAACCCUUUCUCUUCUUCCUCUAUAAGUAUUUAUACCCUUCAAAAGCUUCAAUACUCUACCAUCUGUUUUUCUUCUCUGUUCUUCCUUUUGAGUUUCUUUUCCUUAGCGUUUUUUCUUUUGAUGGGUAGUAGGUGUAUGAUUUCUUCUUCCAUGUUCUCUCCAAUUCUUUCUUUGAGUCUUUGGUACUUUUCAGUUUAUGCAAAGAGACUAACCGUAGAUGGCUUUUCCAUCAAGUGCGUCUUUACUUAUUUCAUACAUCUAGACAUGGGCUUAACCUUUUGAAGCUUUUUUUUAUAGAUGUCCUGGGCUUUGCUUUUCAUUCCUCUUUACUUUUCUUUCAUGGGAUGAGAUUUAGGGUUAGGGUUAGGGUUCCAAUUGUAAAAGCAAUUAGUUAGCCAACUCUUCCCCUUUUCUUCUUUCUUUUUUCUUUUUUGCAUGGCAGAUGAUGAUGAUGAUUGCCAAGAUCUAAAGAAACAUCACAACAGCCACUGUUUGCAGAUGGAGCAUCAUCAAGAUUCACAAACUUUAUCCAGGGCAAGUGGGGUGGAGUUGAUGGUGGCUUUUGUUGGUCCCUUUCGCUUCAUUCCAAACGGCCCCUCUGAUAUGGGAAUCUUGAUGAUGCUGCAGCGGCAAUAAAUGGCUAAUUUAUCUCCAUUUGCAACAGAUUGUAGACACAAAGGGAUCGAUAUCGAUACCAGCUCCCAAAGAUGAGGUCCCAAAGAUGAGGUGGGUUUUUGUACUGCUGCUCCUGUUCUCAGUAAGGUAUGUCUGUCCUUUGGUGAACUUCUGGUCAGUAACAUUGCAAAUCGUGGGUUGCUUUUAUUUUUUGGAUAUUUCAUGUUUUAUUUGCUUCUUCUUUUUCUGAUAGUUCUACUCUCUGUAGAUCUUGAUUAUCAUUUUAUUUAAACAGUUUAUUAUCUACGCAA